UAAUACUGGAUAGGCAAUUAUUCCUGUAAUGGUUUUUUGUUUAAAUGUUUUUUCGCCUAAGGAUGGGUCUGCGGCCGAUUAGGUAGUUGGUUAGGUAAUGGCUUACCAAGCCUUUGAUCGGUACGGGUUGUGAGAGCAAGAGCCCGGAGAUGGAACCUGAGACAAGGUUCCAGGCCCUACGGGGUGCAGCAGGCGCGAAACCUCCGCAAUGUGAGAAAUCGCGACGGGGGGAUCCCAAGUGCCAUUCUUAACGGGAUGGCUUUUCUUUAGUGUAAAAAGCUUUUGGAAUAAGAGCUGGGCAAGACCGGUGCCAGCCGCCGCGGUAACACCGGCAGCUCUAGUGGUAGCAAUUUUUAUUGGGCCUAAAGCGUCCGUAGCCGGUUUAAUAAGUCUCUGGUGAAAUCCUGUAGCUUAACUGUGGGAAUUGCUGGAGAUACUAUUAGACUUGAGACCGGGAGAGGUUAGAGGUACUCCCAGGGUAGAGGUGAAAUUCUGUAAUCCUGGGAGGACCGCCUGUUGCGAAGGCGUCUAACUGGAACGGUUCUGACGGUGAGGGACGAAAGUUAGGGGCGCGAACCGGAUUAGAUACCCGGGUAGUCCUAACUGUAAACGAUGCGGACUUGGUGUUG
rnacentral:rRNA from 1 species